GGGGCUCGGGGCCCCAUUUGGGGUUUGGGGUCAAUUUGGGGUCAGGUUUGGGAUUUGGGGCCCAAUUUGGGGGUUUGGGGUCAAUUCAGGGUCAGGUUUGGGGAUUUUGGGGCCCCAUUUGGGGUUCAGGGUCCCAUUUUGGGGUUUGGGGUCCAUUUGGGGUCAGGUUUGGGGUCAGAUUUGGGAUUUGGGGCCCAAUUUGGGGAUUCAGGGUCAAUGUGGGGUCAGGUUUUGGGGUUUUGGGCCCCAUUUGGGGUCAGAUUUGGGUUCAGGGUCCCAUUUUGGGGUUUGGGGUCAAUUUGGGGUCAGGUUUGGGGUUUUGGGGCCCCAUUUGGCGUCAGAUUUGGGGUUCAGGGUCCCAUUUUGGGGUUUGGGGUCAAUUUGGGGUCAGGUUUGGGGUCAGAUUUGGGAUUUGGGGCCCAAUUUGGGGGUUUAGGGUCAAUGUGGGGUCAGGUUUGGGGCUUUUGGGGCCCCAUUUGGGGUCAGGUUUGGGGUUCAGGGCCCAAUUUUGGGGUUUGGGGUCAAUUUGGGGUCAGAUUUGGGUUUUGGGGCCCAAUUUUAGGGUCAGAUUUGGGGGGUUGGGGCCCAAUUUGGGGUUUUGGGGUCAAUUUGGGGUCAGAUUUGGGGUAUUUGGGGCCUGAUUUGGGGUCAGAUUUGGGAUUCAUGGCCCAAUUUGGGGGUUUAGGGUCAAUUUGGGGUCAGAUUUGGAGUUUUUGGGGCCCAAUUUGGGCUCAGAUUUGGGGUUUGGGGGCCUUAUUUGGGGUUUUGGGGCUUUAUUUGGGUUCUUAGGGCUUUAUUUGGGGUUUUGGGACCCCAUUUGGGUUUUCAGGCCUUUAUUUGGGGUUUUGGGGCCCAAUUUGGGUUCUCAGUCCUUUAUUUGGGAUUUGUGGCCCCAUUUGGGUUUUCAGGCCUUUAUUUGGGGUUUUGGCCCCCAUUUGGGUUCUUAGGCCUUUAUUUGGGGUUUUGGGCCCCAUUUGGGUUCUCAGGCCUUUAUUUGGGAUUUUGGGCCCCAUUUGGGUUCUCAGGCCUUUAUUUGGGAUUUUGGGCCCCAUUUGGGUUCUCAGGCCUCCAUUUGGGAUUUGUGGCCCCAAUUUGGGUUCUCAGGCCUUUAUUUGGGGUUUUGGGCCCAAUUUGGGUUUUCAGGCCUUUAUUUGGGGUUUUGGGCCCCAUUUGGGUUUUCAGGCCUUUAUUUGGGGUUUUGGGC
rnacentral:lncRNA from 1 species